rnacentral:rRNA from 1 species
UGCUACAAUGGACAAUACAAAGGGUAGCGAAACCGCGAGGUCAAGCAAAUCCCAUAAAGUUGUUCUCAGUUCGGAUUGUAGUCUGCAACUCGACUACAUGAAGCUGGAAUCGCUAGUAAUCGUAGAUCAGCAUGCUACGGUGAAUACGUUCCCGGGUCUUGUACACACCGCCCGUCACACCACGAGAGUUUGUAACACCCGAAGCCGGUGGAGUAACCUUUUAGGAGCUAGCCGUCGAAGGUGGGACAAAUGAUUGGGGUGAAGUCGUAACAAGGUAGCCGUAUCGGAAGGUGCGGCUGGAUCACCUCCUUUCUAAGGA